GAUGAAGAACGUAGCGAAAUGCGAUACGUAAUGUGAAUUGCAGAAUUCAGUGAAUCAUCGAGUCUUUGAACGCACAUUGCGCCCCCUGGUAUUCCGGGGGGCAUGCCUGUCCGAGCGUCAUUGCUGCCCUCAAGCACGGCUUGUGUGUUGGGCCCCGCCCCCCGGCUCCCGGGGGGCGGGCCCGAAAGGCAGCGGCGGCACCGCGUCCGGUCCUCGAGCGUAUGGGGCUUCGUCACCCGCUCCGUAGGCCCGGCCGGCGCCCGCCGGCGACCCCCCUCAAUCUUUUCAGGUUGACCUCGGAUCAGGUAGGGAUACCCGCUGAACUUAAGCAUAUCAUAAGCGGAGGA
rnacentral:misc_RNA from 1 species